UGGGGAAUAUUGCACAAUGGGGGAAACCCUGAUGCAGCGACGCCGCGUGAGCGAAGAAGGCUUUCGAGUCGUAAAGCUCUGUCCUAUGAGAAGAUAAUGACGGUAUCAUAGGAGGAAGCUCUGGCUAAUUACGUGCCAGCAGCCGCGGUAAUACGUAUGGGGCGAGCGUUGUCCGGAAUUAUUGGGCGUAAAGGGUACGUAGGCGGUUUUUUAAGUCAGGUGUCAAAGCGUGGAGCUUAACUCCAUUAAGCACUUGAAACUGAAAGACUUGAGUGAAGGAGAGGAAAGUGGAAUUCCUAGUGUAGCGGUGAAAUGCGUAGAUAUUAGGAGGAAUACCGGUGGCGAACACGACUUUCUGGUCAUUUACUGACGCUCAGAUACGAAAGCGUGGGGAGCAAACAGG
rnacentral:rRNA from 1 species